AGGAGAAGUCGUAACAAGGUUACCGUAGGUGAACCUGCGGUAGGAUCAUUG
rnacentral:rRNA from 5 species